rnacentral:ncRNA from 1 species
GAAAAGGCUAUGAAGAGGGAAGUACUCUAUCGGAAGUUUACAGAGAGCUCCAGAUGGUGGGAAGGAGCAGCAAAAGACAGACGAAACAAGCCUCGGAGCUGCAUAUGGAUCGGCCUGUUUAAGACCGUGAUGCUAUGACGUGGGUCCACGUUACAGGACUAGAGUAUGUUCGUACUUAAAGAGGUUAAUAUGGUGACAUAUUAAUAAAAUAGGGUGGUACCGCGAUAGAUUCGCCCCUGUG